AUUUGUAUAUUUUUAUAAUAAAAAAAUUAUUAUUAUAACAAACGUGAUUUUGAUAAAUUUUCUUUAGUGUGAACAAAACAGAGAACUAUAAUGUUACGUCCGGCAGACUCCACGAUUUUCCUUCGUUAGAGAUUAAAUAAGAUUACAAAAGAAAUUUCGCUUCAACGGUCUCCGAUAAUUUUUUCGCCUAGAAUUACGCCUAGAAUUAGAUCUGUUAGAAACGUGACAACAAACAUGGAUGGACGAAACGACUAAGUUGAUCAUUUUGGUUCCUUUUGAAUAUAGAGUCAACAAACAAUAAAUUCUGAACAUAGAAAUACAAAGACAAACUUACGUUCGAAGCAAGGUUUCACAUUUCCUCACAAAAAAUGAGCAAUAAAGAAUCCAAACAUUAGUAAAAAAUAAAUAACCGUUUCCUCCGUCUGCAAACUAUACCGUAGCACGUCUAGGACGAUAAAGAAUUUAUCUUUUAAACUCGAAGGAAGGAUAAACCAAUGUGAUAGGGCUAAUUUUUUUGAUAAAAUUAAAGGAAUGUGAGAGGGAACAGAGAAACUUUUGACAGAUUACUCAACGUAUGAUUUGUCAAAAAGAAAUAACAAUUCCUCCAAUAGGGAAACUUAGGAUUCACCUGCUGCAUAAUCUUAUAUAAAGAGUCCUAUCAAUUAAAACCUUUAAACCACCUACAUCUCGAUUCUUCCUUUGUAAGAUCCUAUGUAUAAAAAUACCAAAUUCUGAAGAGCAGAGACAGAGUUAGUUAAAUCAUUAAGAGUCGGUAGUCAGUGGUAGUCUGUUGUCAGUUGUAGAGUAGAAAACUGUCAGUCAGAUCAUUAAUAAUAAUCAAUACAUAUCGAAGUACGGCAGUGUUCGGGAUUCAGUAUAUUGAGCUCGCGCUGUCGCGUCAGAUGGCAGCAUCUAUCGGGCUAGACUAACCCAGAUCGUGUAGCGCGGCGCUAGUGUAACUCGCGCAUACGUCGGCUCGUCUCACUUCGUACGUGCUUUUGCUUCAUGGUGGCUGUCCGCGAUAUACGUGACAAGUAUUGUGCAUAGUUUCCGUGUGUUUUCUCAGCGUGUGGACUUUCAGCAAAUCUCUCGACUUAUCACCGUGACCAGGAUCACGAUAUCUGACGACAAGACUUAUUUCGUGUACAUCAACAACGACUACUCAGACUUAUCACGUAAGGCACACGCUGGCGCCACGUGGACUACACGGUUCACGGGCAUCAUCAUCACCAGGCCGGUAUUCAAUUAAUAUAAUUGACAUACGAGCGUGUGAUUAAGAACUGUUCAUCAGUAUAAAACACUCAUUUUAAUCCAUACAUUUCAAGUGUGUUAUCUCAUUCUUUGAUUUGUGAUACAAUGUAUGGUAGCUCAGAGUCGCUCUGAGCAUUGCGUGUGAAUUAUAUAUUAAAAUCAAUUCUGUAUUACUCUCUUUGAGCAUUGUGUCCACGACGUCCUCUCACUCUGCUUCCAUCCGUAGGGAUAUCAGUGAUCUCAUUUCUGUAUUUUUGAAGAAAGUGAAAAUGUGAAAAGUGAGUAGCACUGUCUCAAUUGAUCGGUGUAGACUUAUAGGAUUAACGAUAUACACCAAUCACUGUUGUUCACUUUUCACAUUUUCACUUCUUCAAAAAUACAGAAUUGACUCCCUGGUCAGCCAGGCCGUGUGUCAUUGAUCGAAACAAGUGAUAGUCAGAGGGAGCAAUGUCCUGAGAAUACGGCGGGUGGAGUAGAACUUCCCAUUUCAACGUUUCCAAUGAUUGGCCCAAACGCAUCACUUGCUUUCGAUACCGAUCGCCUGUGAUUGUUUCAGUCGGUUUUAGUAGCUCAUAAUACACUACGCCGAGCUGAUCCCACCAAGGGACCGUGGCCGGUCUUCGACGUCAAAAUCACCGUUUUGAAGCGUUGAAACCACUCUCGGCACGUUUUUUCACUAAUAGCAGCCUUACCAUACGUAUUUCAAAGCAUUCGAUGAGCCUCAGCCGCAGAUUUCUUCAUAUUGAAGCAAAAAAUUAAAACAUCCCGCAAAUGACGAGAAUUUGGCUUGUAAGCUGACAUUUUCAAUCGAGAAUAACUUUAUGAUGCAGACACAAAUUGACUAAUAUUUCGAUGGCGUUAUGUUUACAAAUGCCUAAGCUUAUUGUAUGAUGUCUACAAUCUCUUUAUUUAGUUUAUUUUGACCACCACUUACCGCUACAGCCAUCUAUUGAAAAACGGCGGAAGCAAAGUUAUACACUUAAUAAUAUGUCAGUAUAGUAAUAUAUCAGCCUUAGUAUAAACAUUAGUAUAUUAACAUCAUAUAAUCAUGUAGAAUCAGUGCGUGAAUAAAGUUUACCGUUCCAUCUGGUCAAGAAAUCUACUCAAUUCAAACAGAUUUGUUCGAGAACCAGUAAUGAGUAAGUCCCAUCAUCACAGCAAUCUUUUUUUUUCUUUUCUUUUCUUUUUACUUAUCUAUUCUCUUCCGUUCUUAAUUUUUUAAGACACGUUUUUAUUUAUAAAUAAUUCCCUCUUAUUUCCAACAACCGAAGAUUCUAAUUAAGUCUCUCCUUUUUCCUCUUCCCAACUGUUGAAAAACUGAGUGUUCCUCAAAUCUCAUCCCCCCUCCUUCUAACCAUCGAAAAACUCAAAGGUGUUCCUCGAAUCUCCCCAAGGCAUCCCUGUUUCCCUCACGUAAUCAUUUAGUAAAUCAUCCGACUAUUUCCUUGUUUCACGUUGACCGUUAUAACUAUAGAAUUAAAAUUAAAAAUUCUUUUGUCCCUUUCUCCACCCAACACACACUUGUAUAUCUGUAAAAUUAUUUACAUAUUCAUUAUGCGUCUUAAUCCGAUUAUUUCACCGUCGUUGCAACCUUUCAAAUUACGACUUCAGCAUCUAAAUUGUAUUCGCACUUAAAAAGAAUAAACAUUUUGUUAAUUUUAAGCAAAACUUUAUCAUUUAUUUAAAUUCAUAAACGACCUACCCUUUUUCACGCCUGAUCAAAGAUUGUACUUAGUUUAGGCCCGAAUUUAAGUGAUUCAAUUCGCUGACUCGAAAUUUGAACCUACAAGCACACGACUCGGAAAACAGGGUUAUAACGGGCCUGUUGGCACGCUGACCCACAUUUCCCAGUCACAAAAAGUACGUUUGAUCCGACUCUGGUGAAAAUGUAAAAUCGAAGCGUAAGUUUGAGCUUCAGUCUACUAACGCGGACUGAUCUCCUAUUGCUGGGUUUCAUUCCCACUCCGUGAAAUUUAAGCGUAGUGGCAUUGUCAUCUAGCCCUCACUUACGCUACUCGCUUGCGCUGAGUGCAUAUGGAAGGGAAGUGUUAACGCUUAUUUUACAUUCCAUUGUUUCAAUUUACGUUUUGUAAAAGAUUUGUUAACGCUUCUAUUACUUUCCAUUUACAUUCGACUUACUCUCCGAUUUUAUAUUUUUACCAGGGGAGGCAUCUACCCUCUCUUAAUUUGCGUGCCUACGGGAAUUCUACGUUUCGUUAUAUCCUUCCCUGCCUUACCUCCACUCCUUUAAAAUAUCCUCCCAACCAUUUAAAUAAAAAA